GUGAGGCAGCUGAAAAUGUUUCAUUCAAAGCAAACAGGAAUAACUAAUUGUACAUUUCGAAUGCAAAGCCUCCCUGGUGGGGAGUUAGGCAGGGAGGUUUGCGUGUUAAAGGAUUUAGACGUUUGUUCCACGAAGGGAAGCCAAUGCUUCGGCAUGCCAAGCCGUUUUUCUCAUUGAGAUAACAUCUCUUUUCCAAGAGAGACCUGGUCCAAUAGCAGCAGAGGGAACAACAUUUCAGACAAAACAACUUCCAAAUGAACAAUGACCCCAAGCAUAAGGACAACAUAAGGACAACAAAGUCAAGGCUGGGAUCCAUUCUGUUGUCCUGGGUGGAAGGCAGAACACAGGAUCCGCUUCGGGAAAGUCAUAUUCCUGGUCGUACCGAUGCGCACACGUUACAGAAUAACUCCUCACCAAAGCGGAGCAUCAGGGAGCGGUUUUUGUGUUGGUAGGUGACGUUGGGUCGGGAUGCUGCUGCCGGAGCAACCGAGGAUGCAUCAGCAGGCUCAUCAGGUUCACAAGACUCUGUUGGCCGGUCAAGCGUCUGGUGCUGAGUCUACAGUGGAUGCCCCAGCAAGCUCGUUAGGCUUCCAUGCCUUAGCUGGCUCGACAGGUUCACAAGACUUGACAGGCUCCCGCGCCUCAUCCGGCUUGACAGGUUCCCGCGCCUCAGCAGAGGUGACCAGUCGGUGUCCUUUGGCUGUAGAUGUGUGUCAAGGAGGGGCUACUGUCACGUAUACUCCCCGUCCGGCGCUCUAGGUCACCAGGUUGCCCAUUAUUACGCACACCUGUCACCAUCGUUACGUGCACCAGCGCCCCAUCAGUCUCACCUGGAUUUCAUCACCUUCUUGAUUACCUUUCAUAUAUCUGUCACUCCCUUUGGUUUCUUCCCCAGGCGUUACUGACUCUGUUUGAGUUUCAUGUCUGUACGCUUUUCGUAUUUCUUGUUUUGUACUUCGUUCUAUUUCUUUAUUAAAUUAUUC